rnacentral:rRNA from 1 species
AGUCGAACGGCAGCACGGGAGCUUGCUUCUGGUGGCGAGUGGCGAACGGGUGAGUAAUGUAUCGGAACGUACCCAGUCGUGGGGGAUAACUCUCCGAAAGGAGAGCUAAUACCGCAUACGUCCUGAGGGGGAAAGCGGGGGACCUAAGGGUAACUGAGGGCCUCGCGCGAUUGGAGCGGCCGAUAUCGGAUUAGCUAGUUGGUGGGGUAAAGGCUCACCAAGGCGACGAUCCGUAGCGGGUCUGAGAGGACGACCCGCCACACUGGAACUGAGACACGGUCCAGACUCCUACGGGAGGCAGCAGUGGGGAAUUUUGGACAAUGGGGGCAACCCUGAUCCAGCCAUUCCGCGUGAGUGAAGAAGGCCUUCGGGUUGUAAAGCUCUUUCAGCAGGAGCGAAACGGUCGUUUUUAAUACAGACGGCUAAUGACGGUACCUGC